CAAAAUUUUUGGUUUGGAUACAAAAAACCAAGUGAAAAUGAUACUGGAAAGACUGUUUACCGUUUAACUCCUGUCCCAAUCUAACCUAGUGGGUUCAAAAAGAAGGGAACGCGCUGGAAAAUGAGUGGAUUAAAAGGAUCAGCCCUUUUUGAAUUAAUAGUCGAAGUGGUAACCAGCUAGAAGUCGUAACCUGCUCGUAUGAAAGGAUUUCUCGACGUGAAAUUGUUAAUUUUAUUCAACAACGCCAAGAAACAGAGCUCGCUCAAGAAACAGAAAAGAAAGAGAAAGA
rnacentral:lncRNA from 1 species